GUGGGAGAGGAGCAGAUCAGAUGGAGAAGGGGAGGACAGGGCAUCUUAUUGCAACACAGGGGUUUGGGGGAAAACAACCCUCAGCCGUCGAAUAUAUGUGCCCGGCCACCAAGCCUUCGACAAUCUCAACCGCCUGCCGGGAUCUGAUCACAGCUACACCCCUCCUUGGCUGGUGGCACUCAAGACAUCAUCCUGGUUCACCUGCACUAAAAACGGGCCCAUGCUUCAACACAGAAAGCAAGGGUGGUUGCCCCUUGUUGCUGAAAUAAAAAGUUUCAGAGUAACAUCACCCCAGAGACGCUACGUACACAAGCUCAGCUGA